AGCUCUCACUGCCUUGGGCCCUCCAGUCCCAAGUGCCUCAGCCAUCACAAGGGUAUUCCACACCCUCCCUGUUCCUCCCCUGCAGGUUCCCUGGCUGCUGGACAUGGUGGUGUCCUGGGUGGCAGCGGUGGCCUCCCUGACGCUAUUUGGCCGGGUCAUCAUCUUUCCUGAGUUUCAGUUGGAGUUUGUCCCCAAACCACUUCCCAGGAAACCACCCAAGGCCUCAGGAGAAGUCCCUGGUGAGGGCAAGAAAGAGAAAGCAGAGCAUUUGCCACCUCUUGGCCAGAGCAGAAAACCCUCCGCCUUGUGACCACAUGGAAAGAGAUGGAGAAAAAUAAAAGAGGGGUCUUGCAAUAGAUGAUGGAGUUU
rnacentral:lncRNA from 1 species